UACGUAGGGACCAAGCGUUGUUCGGAUUUACUGGGCGUAAAGGGCGUGCAGGCGGCUUGUUAAGUGCAGGGUGAAAGCUCCCGGCUCAACUGGGAGAGGUUCUUGCAUACUGGCGAGCUCGAGGGAGGCAGAGGAAAGUGGAAUUCCCGGUGUAGUGGUGAUAUGCGUAGAUAUCGGGAGGAACACCUGUGGCGAAGGCGGCUUUCUGGGCCUUACCUGACGCUGAGACGCGAAAGCGUGGGGAGCGAACCGG
rnacentral:rRNA from 1 species